rnacentral:tRNA from 3 species
GCGAGGGUUGCCGAGUGGUUAAAGGCGAUGGGCUCAAGAUCCAUUCCCGCAGGGGUUCAAGGGUUCGACUCCCUUCCCUCGCA